rfam:Asian citrus Psyllid, Diaphorina citri - Florida Strain, whole genome shotgun sequence.
GCCUAGUUAGUUUGGAGGGUAGAACGUCUGCCUUGUAAGCGCUAGGCCGUGGGUUCGAUUCCCGCCCGGGGCG